GGCCUCUGGACAGCCCAGGUUGGUGGCAUCCCCACCCUGGUACUCACACAGGUGGUGCUCUUCAUAGUGAUGUCAUUAGAAAGGACAUUUCUGCCAUUGUUCAGGCUGGCUUCAACAAAGACCUCCUUAAAGCACAGAAAGCGAAGAUGGUGAGAGCCAGCCCGGAGAGAUGCAGUUCUUGCCCUUGAGUCCAUUGGCUUAACUCUGAAAGGCGACCUGGAGCAACGGUACCAUUCCUCGGGCAAUCAUCUCCUGCAUCCUGCCCUCCUCACAGACCCUAGGACACUGCAGAUCCCUAGGACACUGCAGAUCCCUGAACACCUUGGGGGCCACCAACAAGGGAGGAAAUGACAUGGGAAGAAUGUCGAUGCACAUGUUCGUCCACUGUUCCUCCCACCUCCGGUCCUCAUCACGCAGAGCGGACCCUGUGGUCCACGACUGGCAUCUGGGCUCUGCUUUCCCAUUGCAGAGACCCCUGUGAGCACCCGCCACGCCCAGGCCCUGUGCAGCACUCUGAUGUGUAACAGGAAAGGCAGGCAGAGUCCCUGCUCUCAAGGACUCACCUUUAAGGACUGCAUGGGAGACAGACAACAAAAUUAAAAAUAGAGAACAAAAUAGAUGGCAGAGUGCAACGUGCUGUGAUGUCCAUGAGCAGAGGGAAGGAGAGGCACAGAGAGAAAGGGACAGCCGCUUCGUCACAGGCGACCAGAAGCAUUCGUGUGAUGUUCCACAGUUUCUUCAAUCCCAUUUCAUUUUCUUUUUCUUCCAUCAUAUUUAAGCAAAAUUAAAUUUAUUAUGUUGUAGUUGAAAA
rnacentral:lncRNA from 1 species